UAUAUAUGGGCAUUUGUCGUUAAAAGUCAUUAAAAUAUUUUUAUUGAUAAUUUUAUUUGGAGAAAAUAAGAGUGUUCAAACCAGGCUUAGCCUUGAAUAAUUUAGCAUGGAAUAACAUAGUAGGACUUUGGUU
rnacentral:rRNA from 1 species